AUCUAAUGAGUACUAUCCUCACAUGAGUUUUUCUAUCUGUCAUAUCUAUCCUUUUACUCAAUUUAACCGUGAUAUGAAGUAAGAAAUUUUGUUUAAUAUACAUGUGAGAUCUCUUCGAUUCAUUCGCUGGUAAAAUCACAUGGUUGUAUUGAUGGUUUGUAUAAUCAAGAAAUAUAGAGAUUUCCUGACAUUGAUGAAAC
rnacentral:lncRNA from 1 species